rnacentral:tRNA from 1 species
ACUUAAAUAGCUUAUAUAUUAGAGCGUGACACUGAAGAUGUCGAUGAGGUGUUUGUUACCUUUAAGUG